UCUUCUUUUUUUUUUCUCUUCUCCUUUCCUUUUCUUUCCUUAUUUUUCUUUCUUUCCUCCCCUUUCCUUUUCUUUCCUUCUUUUUCUUUCUUUCCUCUCCUUUCCUUUUCCUUCUUUUUCUGUCUUCCUUUCUUUCUUCUUCUUCCCCUCUCCUUCUUCCCCCCACCAACCGGCCACCCUUAAAUUCAAGGGUGGUGCCGCCAACCUGGUUCCCUCCACUGGUGCCGCCAACCUGCUUCCCUUGUUUGGUGCCGCCAACCUGCUUCCCUCCACCCAGGGAGUUGUCAAAUCAGUUCAGUUUUUUUUUUCUAUUUUUUAUUUUU
rnacentral:lncRNA from 1 species